UAAGAGGUCCAGCCUGCCCAGUGACUUAGUUCAACGGCCGCGGUAUCCUAACCGUGCGAAGGUAGCGUAAUCACUUGUUCUUUAAAUAAGGACUAGUAUGAAUGGCACCACGAAGGUUAUACUGUCUCCUUUCUCUAAUCAGUGAAACUAAUCCCCCCGUGAAGAAGCGGGGAUAAACCUAUAAGACGAGAAGACCCUAUGGAGCUUUAAACACAGUAAUAACUGCCCUUUCCCACACAAAUCCCCGGAAACAAUUACUUACCUGGGCAUCCUAAUUACAAGUUUUGGGUUGGGGUGACCGCGGAGCAAAAAAUAACCUCCAUAGUGAAUAGGACCCUUCCUUAAGCUCAGGGCCACAGCCCUAAGCAUCAAUAAAUUGACACACAUUGACCCAAUAUCGUUGAUCAAUGAACCAAGUUACCCUAGGGAUAACAGCGCAAUCCACUUCAAGAGCUCCUAUCGACAAGUGGGUUUACGACCUCGAU
rnacentral:rRNA from 1 species